rnacentral:rRNA from 1 species
GACGAACGCUGGCGGCGUGCCUAAUACAUGCAAGUCGAACGCUUUUUCUUUCACCGGAGCUUGCUCCACCGAAAGAAAAAGAGUGGCGAACGGGUGAAUAACACGUGGGUAACCUGCCCAUCAGAAGGGGAUAACACUUGGAAACAGGUGCUAAUACCGUAUAACACUAUUUUCCGCAUGGAAGAAAGUUGAAAGGCGCUUUUGCGUCACUGAUGGAUGGACCCGCGGUGCAUUAGCUAGUUGGUGAGGUAACGGCUCACCAAGGCAACGAUGCAUAGCCGACCUGAGAGGGUGAUCGGCCACACUGGGACUGAGACACGGCCCAGACUCCUACGGGAGGCAGCAGUAGGGAAUCUUCGGCAAUGGACGAAAGUCUGACCGAGCAACGCCGCGUGAGUGAAGAAGGUUUUCGGAUCGUAAAACUCUGUUGUUAGAGAAGAACAAGGAUGAGAGUAGAACGUUCAUCCCUUGAUGGUAUCUAACCAGAAAGCCACGGCUAACUACGUGCCAGCCGCCGCCGUAA